UUUGGUUCCUUGACACCUUAUCUUCAAAGCAUCCCAUAUCUCCUUAGCAGUCUUGCAGCCAAUGACCCUAUUAGACGUAACAUUGUCAAGAACAAUAUGUAACAAAUGCCUUAUCUUGACAUCCUUGCUAAUAAGAACAAUAUGGAAUCAUUUUCUGUUACUGAUGAUCUCCGACUACAAGAGAAAGUUUUGUUGGCAUAUGAGUACCAUCAUAAAUCCUGUCUAAGUAUUUCAAAAUCUAUGGCUUCUAGAAAUAUAGUCAUUUUUACUUUCCAAACAAGAUAUUCAGAUGUCCACAAUAUGGGAACCCUGAUAGAUUCAAAACUACUGUUGGUUGGAGUUUGUGUUUUUUCAAGCAUGAUUGUACAAUUUUUGGAUCUUGACUGUUUGUUAAUUAACAAAUUGGCUCUGAUACCAAUUGUUAGGUCUCAAACCACUAUAAAAGGGGGUUGAAUAUAAUGGAUAUAAUCAAAUUCGAAAUUAAAACACAAAACAAAACUUCAACUUUUAUUCAAUUAAAAAAAAUCUGAUACAAUGGUAGAAUAACUAUUCUCUCAUUGAUUUAUAAUUUAUCGCCAAGAGCUGUUAUGUUACAAGGGUGAUGAUGUUCUAUUCGAUAACACAUCUAGUGUAAAGCUAUUUGUGUUUAUAUAACACAUAGUUACAAAAUAAUCAUUGUUUGAUACUAUACUGAUUUUCCUUCUAAGAUACAUCAAUCAGAGAUUCUAUACUAAUCUUUCCUAAAGUCUCCAACCGUGAUUUCUCUAUAAUAUAUAUAUAUAUAUAUAUAUAUAUACACAAUUAGUGUAGAUCUUCUCCUAAAAAUUAGCCGCUUGUAUAAUCUGAGAUACCUUCCUUGUCUUAAACUCUGAUAUCUACUCUGUCUCCAGCAAACUCUAAUCUUUAAUAAAAGUCUGAUCUUUCAAAUAAACUCUGAUCUGAUUGUUAACGUUAUAAAAGAAGUUAAGUGUGAUAUCAUCAAAUAUAUAACAAGAACUAUAUGUUGGAGGAAGCAAAGUUACCUACAUAUUUCUGGGCUAAAGUAGUCAACAAAGCAUGCUAUACUCACAAUAUCAGUCUAAUCAAUGGAAUAACACCAUAUCAGAGUCUGAAAGAGAAGAAACCAAGCCUGUAUUUUGUCUCUGCUUUCAUAAUGUGCUUGACAUGCAUCCAACAGACUACAAAAUCUCAACAAAAUCUUUGAAGAUUUCUUUAAAGUCGGCCUCUUCAGCUCAUUUAUAGAAUUAUAGGCAUACCAAUGUAACUCCCACACUUCCGUCAUCUUGUACACACAUGACAUCAACUAAUCUCUUAAACCAUUAAAUAUGCAAAAAAAAAAACUCAUAACUUUUAUCAAACACUUAGAAGACACACGUAUAAAUCCGAAAGAUAUAAAACAAUCAUGUAUAUAAAUUUAAACUUGUGAUAAACUUAAGAAUGGAGAGAGAGAUCCGCUUGGGUUCAACGUGAUGAGCUAAAAUUCAUCAAACAUAAUAAUAAUUAAUGAAAAUUGUAUCAAAAGCAAAAACAAAAAUUGAUGACAAACGUAACAGAAAAGAGAGACACCUUCUGGUUUUGCAAAGGAUGAGCUAAAAAAAAAAAAAAAAGCAACAACAAAUAAUGAAAUUUUGAUAACAAAAAAUAAGAAUAACAAAAAAAGAGGAAGAAAGACAUGUAAUGGACAAAGAAUGACCUGAAAACAAAACCAUACCAAUAUCAGGAGAGAAUAACCUUCUCCUCCUGCAAAGAAUUUAGGUGCAAAUAAAACAGCAAGAUAAAGAUAGGUGACUAACGAAAUUCAAAUGAAACGAAACAAUGAGGGAGACAAAGCGAGGGAGAGACUUAGAGCAAGAUUUGAAAUUGAAUUUUGAAUAUUGAGCUUAAUUUCAGUGGGCAAAGUGAAGAAGACACAUAUACUACAAACUUAUAUCCUUAAAAACCGGACUGCAGUAUAGAUAAGAAAGUUGUGUACAUGGGGCAUAUGAG
rnacentral:lncRNA from 1 species